rnacentral:rRNA from 1 species
CCUACGGGUGGCAGCAGUGGGGAAUAUUGCACAAUGGGGGAAACCCUGAUGCAGCGACGCCGCGUGAGUGAAGAAGUAAUUCGGUAUGUAAAGCUCUAGCAGCAGGGAAGAAAAUGACGGUACCUGAGUAAGAAGCACCGGCUAACUACGUGCCAGCAGCCGCGGUAAUACGUGGGGGGCAAGCGUUAUCCGGAUUUACUGGGUGUAAAGGGAGCGUAGACGGCAGUGCAAGUCUGGAGGGAAAGGCGGGGGCUCAACCCCCGGACUGCUCUGGAAACUGUACGGCUGGAGUGCAGGAGAGGUAAGUGGAAUUCCUGGUGUAGCGGUGAAAUGCGUAGAUAUUAGGAGGAACACCAGUGGCGAAGGCGGCUUACUGGACUGUAACUGACGUUGAGGCUCGAAAGCGUGGGGAGCAAACAGGAUUAGAUACCCGGGUAGUC